rnacentral:rRNA from 1 species
AGAGCGAACGCUGGCGGCAGGCCUAAUACAUGCAAGUCGAACGGACCCUUCGGGGUUAGUGGCGGACGGGUGAGUAACACGUGGGAACGUGCCCUUUGGUUCGGAACAACUCAGGGAAACUUGAGCUAAUACCGAAUGUGCUCCCUCCUUUGAUUAGGGGGGUGGGAAAGAUUUAUCGCCAUUGGAGCGGCCCGCGUCUGAUUAGCUAGUUGGUGGGGUAAAGGCCCACCAAGGCUACGAUCAGUAGCUGGUCUGAGAGGAUGAUCAGCCACACUGGGACUGAGACACGGCCCAGACUCCUACGGGAGGCAGCAGUAGGGAAUCUUGCGCAAUGGGCGAAAGCCUGACGCAGCCAUGCCGCGUGAAUGAUGAAGGUCUUAGGAUUGUAAAAUUCUUUCAGCGGGACGAUAAUGACGGUACCCGCAGAAGAAGCCCCGGCUAACUCGCGCCAGCAGCCGC